rnacentral:lncRNA from 1 species
UGCAGGUACUCCUGGAAGGCAGGCCACCUUUUAAGUAACACUGUUGUAAAAUAUUCUGUUUAUUGAGUGGGCUCAGGCGAGGGCUUCAGAACUUCAAGGGAUGUAUACUGCUUUCCUCACCAGAGGUGUCCACUAGCUUCUGGAACAUGGCAGAGAAGAAAUGGGCCAGUUUAUUUACGAGAUUUGAUUGGGAGGAUGGUUGCCAACUACACCCUUUCUCCUAUCAGAAGGAUAAGAAACAGGUGUUUCGAAAGUGCCCAUGGCCAUAAGGGAGAAAGAGCACCAGACCAUCUGAAUAACGUGAAAGUGGACACAGGAAACACCAGACACCCAGAGAAAUGGAGUCCAAAUAGAAACUCAGACCAUUCUUGCUGGAGAUACAUCAAGUGAAUACCUUUGUAGAUCUGGACCUGACCCAAGGAAGCCUGGAUGAUUUGCAAAAGUUUUCCUUCCAUACCUCUACACCACAGAUGGAUUGAGAAAUGUCACAACAAAUUAGAAGUGAAGAGUUAAGUCAUGGCAAGUGACUCCUCAACUCAAGGCUCCUUCAACAUUCUGGAACUGUUUAAUGUCAAUCUUGACUUUGUCUCCAGGGCCCUUUUCUUUUCUUUUUUCUUUUUCUUUCUUUCUUUCUUUCUUUCUUUUUUUUUUUUUUUUUUUUUGAGACAGUUUUCACUCUCGUUGCCCAGGUUGGAGUGCAAUGGCAUGUUAUCAACUCACUGCAACCUCUGCCUCCUGGGUUCAAGCAGUCCUCUGGCCUCAGUCUCCUGAGUAGCUGGAAUUACAAGCGUGUGCCACCAUGCCCGGCUAAUUUUUGUGUUUUUAGUAGAGACGGGGUUUCACCACAUUGGCUAGGCUGUUCUUGAACUCCUGACCUCAGCUGAUCCACCCGCCUUGGCCUCCCAAAGUGUUGGGAUUACAGGCGUGAGCCAAUGCGCCCGGCCCCAGGGCCCUUUUCUUAAAACCAAAUCCCAUGCAAUAAAGCACGUUUAUUUCAUGCAACACAGCUUAGUUAAUGCUUAUACUUCCAAAUACUCCGGUUUACUAGGUACAACUCAAUCAGGAGUGCCUAGUAUAAAAGAACAUGCACAGCACAGCGACAGAGAAUGUUCAUCACCAAACACAAGGAAGCAAAGGAGAUGCAAAGCUAUGGUAGCUAGAGGAGGAUUAGCUUUCCUGAUUUCAGUUUGAGAAAAGCCACUUGUCUCUACAGUCCACUAGUUUGGCAAGGCAUUUGCCCUUGGCUGUGAGAUGAUGUUACAUUCAAAGUAAGGUAUAUUAAUUUCCAGGCUUGUCCAGGAUCAGGGGCUGGAGUCUUCCUUCAAUAGUAAUCCUUUCCUUAAAACCAGUUCUAAGCUUUGUAUUUGUUUUAUUAAGUGAUUGGAUAGCCCUGAAAUAUGAGUUUCCUCCAAUCUCUUCCACUUUGCAAACUCCAGAACCGUUUGACCAAUAAGUUAAAACCCAGAGGAGGACUGACUGUGAGCUAAGGCUUCAGACAUGCAAAGCGCACAACCCUGGGAAACAGCAGCAUCUGGGACAGGAGGCUCCCAUUACUACACAUGAGGGUGUCAUAGGUUUUGCAAAUCAAACACACAUAGAAAACCAGUAGUAGCCUGGGUUGGACACACUGUAUGAGUUGCACAGUUGAGUGAGGACCCAGACCAGGGAGCCACAUGUUCCUCUAGCUUGCAUACAUUUAUUUCACACCACCUCAGGCCACUCAUAGUUUGCUUACCUGCUCAUUGUUGCUCUCCCACCAUUCCCCAUACUCCCUUUGGGGGUGAAACACUCUAUUUCCGACUUGUGCUGGGCCAGUCUCCUGUCUUUGUACCUGGUGAGCAUGAACAAGGACAGGAGCAAACAGAAAGACGUGAUUGUGUGCUUAACUGCCAGGCUGAGGAACGGCCGUGACUGUGGAGAUGGUCACUCUGUGCCAAAAUGGGGGUUCCUGCUUCUCAAUGCAAUGACCAACCUGUGAUACUUAUUAGAUGAAUGUGAUGGCAUAUGGACAACAUCAG